rnacentral:rRNA from 1 species
AUUGAACGCUGGCGGCAGGCCUAACACAUGCAAGUCGAGCGGAGCGGCGGACGGGUGAGUAAUGCCUAGGAAUCUGCCUGGUAGUGGGGGAUAACGUCCGGAGAAGGGCGCUAAUACCGCAUACUAUCAGAUGAGCCUAGGUCGGCUUAGAUAGAUGGGGGGGUAAAGGCCUACCAAGGCGACGACCCGUAACUGGUCUGAGAGGAUGAUCAGUCACACUGGAACUGAGACACGGUCCAGACUCCUACGGGAGGCAGCAGUGGGGAAUAUUGGACAAUGGGAGAAAACCUUAUCCAUCAAUGCCGCGUGGGUGAAGAAGGGCUUCGGAUUGUAAAGCACUUUAAGUUGGGAGGCGUUACCAACAGAAUAAGCACCGGCUAACUUCGUGCCAGCAGCCGCGGUAAUAC